GGAUUGUGGCUCAGUGGCAGAGCUCUUGCCUCACAUAUAUGAGGCACUGGGUUUGAACCUCAGCACCA
rnacentral:tRNA from 1 species